AAUACAACAAAUAUGACAAAUAUGACAAAAUAUAAUUUGAAUGACAUAAGUUUAGAUGAACGUGUAAAGAAAAUAAUGGAAGAACGUAUUGAAAAGAAUGAACUGACUGAGAAUGUUAGGGAUGUACCGAUAGCGAUAAACAAUAUGAAUUGUGAUAGUAACGCAUUUAAUAAAAAUAAUAAUACUGUUCUUAGUAGUAACAACAAUGAUGAUAACAAUCAUGGUGGUAACAAUCAUGAUGGUAACAAUCAUGAUGGUAACAAUCAUGAUGGUAACGGCGAAAGCAAUGAAGGUGAUUAUGGCGAUAGUAACGUUAGUAGCAACAGUAGCCAGGAUAAUAAUGACAACAGUAACGAAAAUAACCAGGACAAUAACCACGACAGUAACAACAACAACGACAGUAACAACAGCAACAACAUGAUUUAUAGCGAAAAAAAUAACUAUUCUGUAAUAAAUAAUGAAACAGUUGGUUUUAUGAAAACAAUGGAAGUGGAGUCAGAAAUGAAUAAAGAGAAAAGCAGAAAUAUACAACUCUCAUUACAUGGUCAAAAUUUUUCUAUUAAUAAUAAAAACACACAUGAUAACAAACAAUGGUUGUAUAAUAACAAUAGUAAAAUGAAUAGUAAUGACGCUAAUAUCACUUCUACUGAUAUUAAUAAAUUUCCUAUUUUUAACUACAAAAAAGAUAAUAAUAACAAUAAUAAUUUUAAUAUGAAAUUUAAUAAUAGAAAUAAUACAUCUCCUGUGUAUGAAGGAAAAGAAAAUAGUAUAUUAUUUAAUAUGAGCGGUUAUGGACAACAGCAACAAUUUAAUAAAACAACAUCAACCUUAUCGAAUGAAAACAAUAAGAACAUGUACAAAAUAAGCAGUCUUAUGAAUAAAGGAAAAAUAUUAUUGAAUCCUUUGAAUUCUGAAAAAUUUUUUAAAGAUAUGCAAACGUUUUUAAAAUAUGCAAAAAGCGUCGAAUCACAAAGUAGUCCAAAAGGUAGUAGUAUGUGUAAAAAGGAAAGUACAAGAAUAGGGAAAGGAAUAAAUGGUCACACAAAUGGAAUGAAUAAUAUGAAUAAUUUCAUGGGAAAUAUGAAUAACGGAAUAUACAAUAGAAAUAAUGUUAUUAACAGAAAUAAUAACGAAAUGAGUAAAAUUAAAAAAGAUCCUACUGAUGUUAAAGACGAAACAAAUAAAUAUCCUAAAGUUGGUUUAAAUACUUUAAUUAAUAGUAGUAUUAAUAGUAACGUUAGAGGUGUCCAUGAAAAUUAUAAUAAAUAUUUAAACAUAGUUAUGAAUAAAUAUAAUAAAGUGAAAGAUAAUAUAAAUAAAACAAAAGAAAAUACCAGAAUGGAUAACAUAAACAAUAUGAAUAAUAAUAUGAAUAAUAAUAUAAACAGUCAUAUGAAUAAUAAUUAUAAUAGUAGUGAUAAUGUGUAUGACAAAACGAAUAACAACAUGGUUACACAUUAUCAAAAAUCGUUGAAGGGAUAUGGUAAGAACUAUGGAGAUGUUUUAAAUGAAACAGUUAACAUGUUUAAUAAUAAUAAUAAUAAUAGUAAUAGUAAUAAUUAUAAUAAUACUAGUCAACAUGUAAUAAAAAGUAAAACAGAAGUUUAUGAUAAUAACGAUUUUGAGUUUACAAAAGCACAGAAACAUGCUGAAAUGAUAAAUGCAGAGAAUGAUUAUAACACACGAAAGAAAAAAGGAUCUUUAGCAUCAAACUUGAAUCGAAUUAACAGUGACUUUUAUUUUUACAAUGAUAAUUAUGAUGAAGAUGAUUUGGAUAAUAUAUUUAUAAGUGAUAAUAUAAAUGAAUUAUCAAAUAAGAAUAAUAUGAACAUAAGCGAUAAUUUAAUUAAAAAAAACGAACAAAAACAAAGGAUGGGAAGUGGUGAAUUUAAUAAUACUAAUAAUUAUAAUUAUUUUCAACCACACAUAUCAUCAACACAAUCAUCAAAUGUUACAAAAAACGAAAUGAUGGAUAAUGAUUAUUAUACACAUUUUGAGAAUGUAAAAGAAGAAGAAUUAGAACAAACAUCACAGAAUGUAUUUCCAAAAAAAUCGUACUAUAAUACAAGGCCUGAUCUUAAAAUGAGAUGGAGAGGUGGUAAUGACUUAGUAGAAACAGAAAGUCUUGAUGUCGAUCUGAUAAAACAGUCGUUGCCAAAAGGAAUAUAUUAUGACCAUAAUAAAAAAUUAUAUAGGGUUCAAUACUUAGUAAAUGGUACGGUUAAAACUAAAGGUUUUAGUGUUAAAAAACUAGGCUUAGAACUUGCUAAAAAAGAAGCAGAGCAAUUUAGAAAAGAAUGUUUAGAGCAAGGGUUAUUGAAUUCACGUAAAAGAAGGAUUAAUUCUCCUUAUAAUAAGAAGGUGGAUAAUACCAAAGCAGUAGUUCAAGCGAAUGAUCGUUUUUUGAACAAUUUUAUGUAUGUAUAUAACACAGACCCCCUAGAAACAGCAGAUAUAUCAAAAAUGAAUGGUUAAAGCAGUCGACGUGAGGUUAUUAUUAUGUACUCAUAUACAUAUAAGGUACAUACACGCGCCUCCAAUAUACUUAUGAACUAUGAUUUAUGAAUAUUGUUCCUGAAUGUAUAAUAAAUAAAAAAUUCAAAAAUUGUAUUACUUUUAA
ensembl:lncRNA